rnacentral:rRNA from 1 species
AGUGAACGCUGGCGGUAGGCCUAACACAUGCAAGUCGAACGGCAGCACAGUAACAGCUUGCUCUUACGGGUGGCGAGUGGCGGACGGGUGAGGAAUACAUCGGAAUCUACUUUUUCGUGGGGGAUAACGUAGGGAAACUUACGCUAAUACCGCAUACGACCUACGGGUGAAAGCAGGGGAUCUUCGGACCUUGCGCGAUUGAAUGAGCCGAUGUCGGAUUAGCUAGUUGGCUGGGUAAAGGCCCACCAAGGCGACGAUCCGUAGCUGGUCUGAGAGGAUGAUCAGCCACACUGGAACUGAGACACGGUCCAGACUCCUACGGGAGGCAGCAGUGGGGAAUAUUGGACAAUGGGCGCAAGCCUGAUCCAGCCAUACCGCGUGGGUGAAGAAGGCCUUCGGGUUGUAAAGCCCUUUUGUUGGGAAAGAAAAGCAGCAGGUUAAUACCCCGCUGUUCUGACGGUACCCAAAGAAUAAGCACCGGCUAACUUCGUG